UCCCAACGGAUCCUCUUUGUGCCGAUAGUUGGUUGAACAUUGUAGCUCAUAACCAAGGAUAGCAAGUGAUACUCAGGUAAUAAGUCCUUGGAUUCAAUGUAACCAUGAGUCAUGUAAACACCGGCUUUGCAUAUAGCUCCAAUAACGAUAUCCAGGUGAGUUGAUGCUUGAAAUCCUCCUGAAGUAUAGAGAAGACUUGAAGUGUCCACAUGCAUCCCCAAGAUCUCUCCAAUAUCAUAGGGAGUAACUGGAAAUCUCCUCUGACGCACAACAGUCUCGAAGAUAAAAGUGCCUGUUUCAUUAUCUUCAGCAAGCACCUUUCCAUUCAUAUAGAACUCCCUAAUAAGUUCUACACAGAAAGGAGCCUUUGCAGGGACCCGUCCAACAGGCUCAAUAGGCGCACGCUGUAGUAGUCGUCCAAAAUCAGGAACCUCCCGAAUCAG
rnacentral:lncRNA from 1 species